UUUUGCGAAUACAGACUAACACGGCUGCUACUCUGAAACACAUUUUCCAGUAACCAUGAGCUUGCAUUUGUGCGUGGCUGCUGCGUUGCUACAACCAAGGACAGUUACCCUGUCCUUCAACUACUUCGUACCAAAUGGUGUCCCCUCUGCAACAGAAGCCAACUUUUUUUUAGGCAUACAACACCAGUAGAGAGCAGUUUCACUGGCAUUCUAUACCUGCUUUGGGAAUAACGUCUCAUUUGCAAGUAACUCUGCAAAUUUGUCAAUGUACUUCGCAGCAGCUUCCAUAUCUGCACUUCUUUUUUCACUGCACACACAAUGUAGAUGAAUGCCCUGCCUGUUUUUAAAUUUCUGAAUCCAUCCUUGCAAAUAGUCACACUCAUGCUGCAGGUUAAGUUCUUUGUGGAAUAUUUUUGUUUGUGCCACCAUCAUCUCACCUGAAAUUCUAACACCUUCGUUCCUACAAAGCUUGAACCAAUGUAUAAGCGUACUAUCUAAAUCACUGCUUUCCCCCUCCUUCAAUGUCUUAUGAACACUCAUACUUGUUUUUACUGUCACGUUCAGCAAAAAACUUAAGGAUUUGAUUCUUUUGCUUCUUCAAAUCAUACAUUGUAAAUGGCCCUACAUUGUAAAACUCACACAAGGCACGUUCCGAUGUGCCCUUUUCCAAUUUUUGCAGCACUCCCACCUUUUGCUGUAUGGAUAUUGACACAUGCUUAUGCUUAGCAGCAUUACCAACACUUCCACUGCUUGCUGGACAUAUUUAGGGGUAAAUUCGAGCUAAAUAACAGCACAGAACACUGAGAGCCAGGACUGGUGGGACUUUGCUGGACCGUGGGAAUCUUGGCCCCACCCAUGCUAAGCGUACAUUCGGCUAACUAAAAUCAUGCUGGACCACGGAUGUUGCCAGAUUAGAGAGGUUCAAUCUGUAAUCAGGAAAAGGUCUGUAACCAAUCAGUAGGAUUGUACUUAAUCAUCCACUUUGAUUUUACUCUGACUUAGCUGACUUAGUCCAAAUACCCCAAAAGGGACUACUUGUAAUUAAUAUGGGGAAAAUGUUUUCUGUGAUUAAUAAAACAAUAAUCUAUAAGAAGAUGCUUUUAGAUUAUCAAUCAUAGAAACCAGAUACCAAUCUGCCUGAAGCAUCAGGUGAUUAGGCUGAGGCCGCAGGAUCAUUAGGGGAGGAGAUGAAGGAGCACACCAAGUAAUUAAGUUUUAAAGCUUCAUUAAUAAAAUAACAGCGGUGAGCGCUGGGGGCUCCCCAUGUCAUUCAGAGGAAGAAAGAAAGCAUUAGUGCCCACGCCCUAACCACUUUCAUACUCACACAUGCACAACCCGCGGCUGGCCAAGCCUGGGUGUAAUGUCAGAAGAAAAUGGGGAAGGUUGGACAUUUGUCCUGUACACAGGCCGUCCAGGGUCUGCUGUUGAUCUCAAAUUUGCUUCAGCUCUCAGAAGGGUUUUAAGUCCUGGGGUCUUUUGGGGGUGUUUCAUUCAGGGACCUCUGUCCCCAGUGCUCUUUGUACCAGUCCAAACCGGCUUUCCGUGGCUUCCUCAGCUUUUCCAAAACACACCAGCUUCAGGGACACAAGACUGUUGUUUUCCCACUCGCUGGCUUUCGCUGUCUCACUGGCUUUUGCAGCCCCUGCAGUUCUGUUCAGCUGAAUCCUCCUUUCUCACGGCUGGACUGGGUUGGAAUCCAGGCUCCUGUCUUUCUUGGCAGGCAGCCGAGAGUCGGUUGUGUGCUGUGGCCUUGGGCUGGAGUCAACGUCUUAUCUUCGAACCUAGCUGGAGCAUCGAAUUAACCUGUUCCUUUCUCCCUUCCUUCCCCUUCGGCCUCUUGCAACCUGCAAAGAAAGCUUUCACUCCACACUCACACCUUCAACCCCUCCCAAGAUCCUUUCCAAUGUGUAUAAAAGCAUUAGCAAUAUACAAUGCUGGUGCUUACCCAGGGGACCCCCUGGGUAAUUUUACUGUGACAAUAGGCCCUGGGAAUUGGUGGGCAUGGAUGUAAUAGGGCCAUUACCAACAACAAACAAGGGAUACCAGUACAUCUUGAUGGUCAUGGAUUAUCUUACAAAAUGGAUGGCAUAAGUCAGCACAUGAAGUGGCAAAGAAAAUAGGUAAAAUUAUAAAUUGAUUUGGAUAUCUACAGUGGAUACUGACAGAUCUUGGUUCUGGAUUCAGUAAUGAGGUAAUGAUUUAUUUUUGAGAUUUUUUUUCACUAUUUCUUCAACCGCACUAUCGGAUCAUAGAUAUUUGACACUGACUACGGGCUUCAUUGUCGUCUUUAUUAUUAUUUUUUUUUACUGUAAAUUGUUGCUGACACAUUUUUCUGUCUACUUAUUCACCAAUUUUUUUAUAACAAACUGAUUGCAAACUUAUUUUUCCAUGUAGUCAUUCUAAAAGAUAGAAUAGGAAACCACAGUAAUUACAUGUAAAAUCAGUUGAAAAUAGGAGAAGGAACAUACAUGCAGACAUUUCCAAAGGAAACUUUAUGGCAUUUUUUUUUCUUUCACUUUAACCUGGCCCUUUGUGGGGAAAAAUGGGGAUAUAACAUAGCUUUAUCAGCUCAUACCACCCACAAACCAAUGGACUGGAUGAAAACACCAACAAAUCCAUCAAAUUUUAGAGGUGGAAAUUUCAAUACUAAACACAAGUAGCAUGCACCAGACCAUAAACUACAUAUUUGUAAUACCUCUUCAAGGUCAAUUUAUUACAUUGCAAUAAAUAAAUUUUAUUGUAUUACAUGUGAAAUGAAAAACAAUCAAAGCCACACGCUGUGAUGUUCUCCUCCUUAGACCUUCUUGAUUCCAUAUAAUCUAUCUCAAUCAAGACAUCGUGUUUACUAUUUGUUUUCACAAACUAAUCAAUCACCAUUUCUUACAGAGCACUGCGGAAGCUGGUUGAUACCACUGGGAGUAAUUGGAAUGAAUUUUUUUAUAACAUUUUAUUUUCUUUGAAAUCUAAACAGAAGAUGAGAACAAAAAUGUCACGCUUUCAACUGUAGUAUGGUUUUGAAGCAACAUUCUGUACAAGGGCUCAGAGAAUUAUACAGUAAGUGUAUUUAAGUACCAUCAGUACUUAAGUACUAAGUAGUAGCAAACACAGUGCUAUAUAGAGGAAUGAGUAAAUACAGUAAGCGUGUACUGAAAUUGGGAAAUACAGCUGUAGCCAAUUAGUUCAUUUUAUCUAUUUAUCAUUGUAAUGUGGUGGUCUGGUCAAUUAAUAUGGUAUUUUAUACAUAAUAAAUGCUAAAUAGAUUUAAGUUACUAGGCCAUAGACUUAAGCAUGCUUGACAUGAGUGGAUGAUUUAGAAUAACCCUACAUCAGUAAGGUCUUGAGAUUACUGCAAAGAUAUGCCAAAAAGUAAUGUUAUGAAAAAAAUAAUUUAAAUAAACUGAAAGCUAUUGUCCAAGAUCAUGAGACCCCAGAUUGUAACAUCAUAAAAAGUCCUGUUCUGACUGCAAGGUAUAUGUUAUGCAUAGAUGCUAAUGAGAAUAAGAGGAACUAAAACCAACCUAUGAAAAAUGAGGCACCCCAGUAUUCCUGGGGUGUGGAAGUACAGAUAAGGAAAAGCGGAUUUUCCUUAGAAUAGCUUUGAGGAUGUGAGUAUGACUAAAUUUGUAGUCAUUGCAUGCAUUUUUGUAGGAUUUACAUAUGCAUGAGUAAUUGUAACUUUACUUAUUGCUUUAAUAAAACUUGUAGUACAGAUAAAACUUGUGAGUAUGUCAAUAUCCUUGGACUUUGUGCGUUUCUAAAGUCUCUAAAUUUGAGAAAAGCACCAGAGGUAAUGUUCACUUUGAGCUUGAAACUGUAGCAACAGGAGCUGAAGCCAUGAUAGUGUAAUACAAAAUUACUAAAUUAAAUUUAAAUAAAAAAAGAAAGCUACACAGUGUCAUCUAGAUUGCAUGGUUUGUCUAAUUGACUGACAAGUAUAACUGCAUUUUUCUUUUUUUUCAAAGAACACAGACUGGAAUGCAAAAUGAUGUAUUAUUUCUUCUUUACAAUGCACCAGGUAAUUUGGGUUAUUGCAGUAAGAUGUUUUCCAUUGUUAUACUUUGGGAUUGUAUCCACUAAUGUAGUACUACAUAAUAGGAUUCAAAUACAGCUAUGAUAUAAUUUCCUGUAUUUUAUGGGUUUUCAAUAAAUUUAAUAGAUUCAAAUGAAAAUGGAACUUCAAUGUAAGGCUUGAAAUGCUGAAGACUGCAGUUUAAAAAAUAAAAUGCUAGUCUGAAGAAUUUGUUGUUAUAUUGGUAAUGUAUAUUUUAAAAAUACACCAAGAAAUUCACAAUAUGAUUUUCUCUUGUGUAUUAGUGAGAUAUUACACGAGAGUAUCUGCAUGCAGUGUUUUGAAAAAUCAUUAUAAAAUUGUUGAAAUGAUCAUAUUACCAAUAACAUAUGUAUAUAUUUUAAAUUUGCACAUAACAUUAAUGGAAUCAAAAAAAUUGUUAAUAAUUGAGCCCUUCUGUGGUGAGACAAGAGAUGUGAAAGAACCUUCCUAAGGAAUUGGAGAUGAUUUUAGGUACUUAUUUUCAGUUUAUAGGUCAUGUUAGUGUGAAACUAUUUUCAAUAAAUAUGAUACAACAACAAUGAAGACAAUAUCAUCCUGACAGCUACAAAUAAAAAUGGAAACAACACAUUCUUGUACUUACUCUGUUUAGUACUGGACAUUGACUGAACUUGUAGGAUUUGAGCAUGGACUAACUACUUCAUUGAAUGAAACCGCGUGUGUGUGUGAUAUAUAUACUAUGAGCAUGAAGUAAUUGCAACCAUUCAUUAAAUAGAAAAAUAAAGGAUUACUAAACAUCUAGAGUACCUGUAAGAAAAAAUGAAACCCACUUAUAAAAUUGGCUACUUAUAUGCCUUAUACAUUUCAGAUUGUUCAUCUACUGAAAAACUGGAAAAUCCAUAAUGGGUCUCUGGAAAAUAAAAAUUGUGGAACACAGGAGACAAGCAGUUGGGCACAACAGUGGUCCACUCAUUCUAAAAUUAUUGAGUGUCAAAUUUUGAUUUUUUCUUAAUGAUGUGUAAUUAUGAUGUGUUUUCUAAUUAAAAGUAUUAGUUUGCAAAAACAUAUUUAGAACAUAAAGACAUCAGUACUAUGGAAACCACACAAGAGACUAACUACGUAUAGAAGAAAAAUCACCAUUCUUUUAAUGAAAGAGUGGAGUAAUAACUUUGUUACAAGUACCUAGUGAGACCAGAGUAUAUGGGAAGAUAACAGGAAGAGUGGAAUAAUGUCAUAUCACAAAGUUAUCAGUAGGUUAUGUCGCAGGUUUGGUUCUCUAAGGGUCUCUCUGCAUGAAUAAUGUCUUUGAUUAGUGAAAAAUGGGGAGUGCGUAGAUGGUUGACAUUGAAAGAGCAAUGAAAUGUAAUUGGAUAUAGUUAUAUCCAUCAGCAGUCAACUAAAAGUUUGAGAUAAAUAGAUAAGGGUACCAAACAUAAUGUAAAAUAUGACCCCCCAAAAAGAAAAAUAUUUGCAAAUCAGUAACUUAAUACUUGAAAUAAUUGACAUUCAUGAAUAAAUCAAGAUUUCUAUUUAGAGUUUUGGUCAUAAGGUAAUCAUCAUUUGAUUACAUUAUAUUGAUUUUGCAGAGAGCAGGAAGGAGUACUGCACCUUGUCAUAUGCAAAAAUGAAAAUUGUAUAGUUAACACAAUGUUCGAACAGAUAAGUAAACAGAAUACUGUAUGAUUGUUUAUAGCACAUGGCCCAAGACCCAAUCAGUUGCAUAUAGACCUGAUGGAAUAACUUUGCUAAGGAUCAGGAUUGUUGUAAUAAUUCCACAUUAGUAAAUAUUUACACUGUUGCUGACUAAUUUUGACUAAUGAUUAUAUGUUCAAGGAAUAUUAUUUUAUAAUUGUAUGAAUUAAUUGAAAUUAUAUUUAGCAUAAAUAGUUCUGUCAUCAUUUUCUCAUCUAUUACUUAUCAAAGGUACAGUUUGACUCUUGUAAGAAGUGAGCAUAUGUGCCCUACCUUCCAGAGGGAACCAGUGAAGACAUCCUAAGUGAUAAGAAGAAACAGUAUGACUGCAGAAAGUGUGUAUAGUUGGGAUGUUUACAAAAAAAUGUAUUUAGUAUGAUUAUUUUCUUACGGUAAAUAUUUUGAUUUUCUUGGAAUUAUACAGUUGGAAUACAAAUGUGUAAUAGAGAAGUUCAAUUUUAAUAUUCAUUUGAGUAAAGGAAAAAUAUAUGUUAAUCACUGUUUCUAAAAA